rnacentral:lncRNA from 1 species
AAUCUCAGGAAGGCUGAAGUUUUUAGACGGCUACCCUUCAUAUUUAGGGAAAAAUAUUAUCACAGUGAAUACAGCUUCAAAGAUAAAACAUGGACUAGUCAGAAAUACAUAAACUGCUUGAAGACUCAGAAGACAGGCUGAAACCACAGAGAGAAUAUAACCAUGUGGAAAGUCUAGUCUUCAUGUGGAACAUCUGUUACGAAGAAAUUCUACUUGGAAAGCUUGUCUGCUCUAUUAACCCAUCCCUGUUGCUCACUUGGAAGAAGAGGGCCUUCACUUUCCACUGUAAGAAGAAGGUCUUCUGUUGCUCUGAACGCUUCUGUUUAGAGACCUUUCUUCACUGUCCCCAAGGAGAAUGUUCUCCCUGCCAAGGUUAAUGACUCCAUGAUAAUCAGAAACAGCAUGAUUCCAGGAAGUGAGAAUGUCUCUUUGUUCCUCUGCAAAAUGGUAAUGCUAUGAUCUUCAGGAUAGCCCUUAAGGCUGUGGGAAAGAAUUCUGAAAACAUGAGUUCAAGAAUCUAUAAAUCAGUGUAAGAACUGUUCUUUACAGGAUUUCUCAACUAUGUAAAAUAUAAGGAAGCAAUAUGAGUUGUAUGAGGGGCUUCAUGGACCUGAAAGAACAGAGGAUGUAGCAAUAAAUUGUUUAAAACUCUA